rnacentral:rRNA from 1 species
UACGGGGGGAGCAAGCGUUGUUCGGAUUUACUGGGCGUAAAGGGCGCGUAGGCGGCCACCGCAAGUCAGUUGUGAAAUCUCUGGGCUUAACCCGGAACGGUCAGCUGAUACUGCGGGGCUAGAGUGCAGAAGGGGCAACUGGAAUUCUCGGUGUAGCGGUGAAAUGCGUAGAUAUCGAGAGGAACACCUGCGGCGAAGGCGGGUUGCUGGGCUGACACUGACGCUGACAGCGCGAAAGCUAGGGGAGCGAACGGG